GGAGAGAUGACCGAGAGGUCUAAGGUAACGCAUUGCUAAUGCGUCGUAUGAGAAAUCAUACCGAGGGUUCGAAUCCCUCUCUCUCCG
rnacentral:tRNA from 2 species